rnacentral:rRNA from 1 species
UACGAAGGGUGCAAGCGUUACUCGGAAUUACUGGGCGUAAAGCGUGCGUAGGUGGUUCGUUAAGUCUGAUGUGAAAGCCCUGGGCUCAACCUGGGAAUGGCAUUGGAAACUGGCGACCUAGAGUGCGGUAGAGGGUAGUGGAAUUCCCGGUGUAGCAGUGAAAUGCGCAGAUAUCGGGAAGAACACCUGUGGCGAAGGCGGCUCUCUGGGACGGUACUGACGCUGAGACGCGAAAGCGUGGGGAGCAAACAGG